rnacentral:lncRNA from 1 species
AUCAUGCCUCCCACUCCCGAUGGAGGCCCCAAAUGUCUGACCCCAUUUUUGUCUCUGUCUGGGUGUCUGGGGCGCAUAGCGACACGGGACCGCCGGCUCGCUGGCCGGCUGCCCGUCCGGUCACGUGCUUGCGUCCCGACACCCACCAUAAAACCAUGUCUUUCGUAAAUACACUCUCUCACUUCUCCUCUACUGACUGUACCGCCAACACUACCAGCGGACCACGGCUCCGACGAGGGCGGCCAAAAUGGCCGGCCCACAAUUGGUGCCAGCGGUGGUGGUUGGUUGUCCGUGAAGGACUUUUGGCUUCAGUCCUUGAGUUCUGUUACCCAUCUGGGAGUGGCCACUAUCUGACUCCCCGAGCAUCGACCACGGAGAAACGCCGAUACGCAUCACGGUCUGAAAAAGCUGGCUGACCAUAGUCAUGAUGGGACUGGAUGCUCAUCGCCAACCCAUCUGACUGUCUCAGUCGCUCUGCAUCUGGUCCACACAUCUCGCACACUGCAACUGCGGACGCCAUCACCGACUGCAACGGCUGCAACUACAACCAGCAGGUGGCCUAGGUCCAAAGCCAACGCCUGGCUGACCCACAUGGCAGCCUGCCGUCGCUACUAUCUUCAUCUGCUCAUCGUGCUUCGCUGUUCUCCGUCCGUUCGUCCGUCACUCUCGUCGCCCGUGCCAGCCGCCAUUACCAUGGCUGAGCACAACUCGUCGCCCGCCGUUGUCGAUGAACAACAGGCUACCAGCACCCUCGCUAACAACACCAAGUUCUGGUAUGCUGACGUCUUUUGGAAUCUGCAUGCUGUGCGGCGGCAGCCAACGCCCCGUGAACGGUAAAGGCCUUACCGUCACGGCGCACCAUGGUCGCUGCCCCUUCACAACCAGCUCAGACGUCAGCACCCAAGAAACAGAGGUGUGGCUGGUCCCACGCAUCAACAACGGCAUAACAUCGCGCUGACGAUAACAGUGACGACUACAAUGACGAAACAACCAAAUCGGAGAGCAGUUACAACAGCAGCAGCGAGUAGCGGCGACAUCAGCAGUCGUACCCGGCGUUCCAUGCGCGGUGUCAAACGUGGAUCUAUGCAGUUAAGGAUCGUGAUUGCUUACAGGGUUGGGCAGAUAAAUUGGGACAAAUUUUAACUUCCUCUAAAACGACUAGUUUUUUAGUGAUAAAGAUAAUUUUUGAACAUAUGUAAAUAAAGGCUAAUGAA